AAAAACCUCAAAAUUCGUGAUAAAACACAAGCUAAACAACUUCUGUCGGUAUGACCCACUUGGAUAUUUUUUCGGCUCUCAUUCUCUCAGAUCACAUCCUACAUGUUGUUGUAGCAUGUUGAAUUUUCACUUGUCUCCUCGUAAGAAGCAGAUCCGCCAUUUCUCUUUCUUCGACCUUCUCAAUUCUUUUACUCCUUUCUCUCUCUCUCUCUCUCUCUCUCUCUCUCUCUCUACCUUCGUUUUCUUGUCAUGACGACUUUCGUCUUUACUUCUGUUACGCAACCUCGUAAUUUACAUCUAUCAGACUGUGUGUGAGUUCGUAUGAUGAUUAUUUAGGGUGUCAACUUCCAGCUUUUGCAACUUGCAAGUGACCUCCAAGUGCAAUAACUUUGGCGUAUCACACCAACAACAAUAACAUAGCAUUUUGUUGAAGAACAUUUUGGAAGGAAGAGAUUGGGACACACUUUUGUGAUUGUAAUAAAAGUAGCAUGGUCAUGCUAAUUAAAAGUAUCAACAUGUGUACUUUCAGUACAUCAUGUAAAACAAUUUUUCCCUUUUUAUUCAAACAAGGAAUAUGUAUGCUGCAAAGAAAAUAUGACACAAGGUAGAGUAAUACUUCUUACUACGUAAAAGAUGGUAGUAAAAGGAAUAACACAAAGUAUUUGCUAGGGCUUAUUGGUGAAACCGAGCUAGAACCUAAUUUCAGCCAUUAUUCCCUUGUGAUUGAUGCAACUAAGUCCCUUGUCUGCGCAGCUCCAUCUAACAUAUUUCUUGAAGUGGCAAGCUGAUUUAGUUCGGCUGAUUAUGUUGUACCUAUACUUCAGGCAUAGACAGGUCACAGGAUAAUGAAAAGGCUGUUCUAAACGCUAGGAGCUUUUAUGUGGUUUUGGUUCAUUGAUAUCUUUUUUAUGGUAAAUCCUUAUCUUGGCUACAAAUAUUACUGUGCACAGAUGAGCUUAAGUUGACAUUGAAUCAGGAUUGUAAUGAUAUUGAAAAGCUCAAGCUGCAUACUGCUAUCAUGUCUCAAAGCUUUGGCUGCGAAAUGUUUCAGCAUAUGCUGAUAGAUGGGAAUGCCAUAAUAUGAAUUUUAGUAGCAAAUUGUGAUGCGUCAAUUCUUUUCAAAUGGCUGCUUCAUUCUCCUUGUGGGUUUUACAAGCUUCUGUGGGCUUGACUAAACUAUCUCUUACACAUUGUGUCUUACAUUCUAGCUGCUAGCAUAUUGAUUAUUGAAAGCUAGUUUCUAGUGCCCUUGAUGCUUGUUUGAUGAUGGUGGAAGUCACAUAGGCUAUUGUUGACUAUUGAUGAGUGAUGGUUUUGCUUGUUUUGCACUAAAUUAUUUGAUAUGGCCCUUUGAUGAGUCGAAGUCAAGAUCAAAGUUAAAGUCAAAACUCCUCUACUGUGGAAUCCUCCUAAGUCCAUUCAAUCAAGAUACACAAACCUUAAACUACCCACUUCUAGCAAUAACUGUCUUUUUAAAAUAAUUGCUUACUACUCCCACUUCUACAAACAGGACCAUCAUGAAUUACCAUGAAUCACAUAACCUCCUCUAAAAUCUUACAGUGGAUUGUUAUAUAUACUUCAUUCUUCUAUAGAAAAGGUUAAUUCUAUUCUCUAAUACAGAAACUCUAUCCAAAUAUUCUAUCAUUAUACUUAUUCCUUCCAAAUACAGUUUUCGAUAUGCCUUAAGCAUCGAUGAGGCUUUCUAGGAAAUCAGUUUUAGAAUAGUCUUUUUUUGUGGUUGUAGGUAUUUAAUUUCUAGCAAUUAGAUCAUCAUUCACACUUAAACACACAUGUAUUUCAUACUUUUAAUCUCUUUAUAAAUUUGAGAGUUUUUAAGUAGGAACAAAAUUCAAAUAAGUUCUUGGAGUAAUUUAUUUGCUUUAUUCACAACAUUCACGAGCUUUUAAGAGUAGUUAAAUUUUAGCAUAUGUUCUUGUUAUGAUCGUUUAAUUUUGAAUAGGGAUAUGUAAUGCCCAGAUAUUUUUAAAAGAUAAUAAUAAUAAUAAUAAUAAAUAUAUUUGAUAUCAAAAUUAAGAUUUUCUGAUAAAAUUGAAUUACAGUUUUAUUUUCUAAUUAAAAAUAAAAAAAUUAAAAAUUAAUUUAUUAAAACCCACAAUUGUAUAUGUGAUUUUCCUUAUCUUAACCCCCUCCCACUUUCUUCUAUCACAUCCCACUCUUCCUUCAACUACUCUUUAACCAAUAUUUUCUACCACUACAGAUGGAUGGUAUUAGUCUUCGGUUCUCUUUUCACCAUUCUCUAUCUCUUUCUAAUUAUUUUUAUGUAGUUAACCAUUUUUUUCUUUACAACUAUUAUUCGUUUAAUCUUCUCCUUCAUAGUAUUUUUUUUAAUCUUUAGAUAUUUUUAUCUAUAAUUAUAAACAAUAAUUAUACUUUAGAUGUCAAAUUCGUAGAUUAAAACUACUAAAAGCGUACGUUAAAAUUCUAGAAUCAUUUCACAAAGUAAUUUUUAGUGUCCAUCCAAUUAGAAUUAUCCCUUUAAUAUUAUGUGUUGAGUGAUAACGUGUUUAGAUUAGAUGCAUGAUUUCAUUUUAUAUUAUAUUUUAUAUGUUUAUUACUCAAAUUAUAUUAUUGACUACUAUUUUUGUUAUGGUUUUAAUUUAUAAUAUUAUUUUAAUGCUGAAUUUUGUGCAUUUUUAUCGAGCCAAAGAACUCUUUGGCCGCAUUAUGAGUUGUCACCUCUUUCCCUCUCCAGACUCUGAUCAUGGUUCCUAUGAGUGUGAUACACACUGUAUAUAAUGAUAAUAAUAAUGAUGAUGAAUUUUAAAUACGAUUAAAUAGGGAAGAGAAAUGUUUAUGAUAUUAAUAUUUCCUAUUGCCACUAAUUGAUGUUAAAAUGGUGCUAAGUCAAAUGAAAUUACAAUUGGAUAUUCUUGAGAUAUAUUUUAUUUAAAAAUUUUAAUAAAAUAUAUGAUGUUUAUUUGAUUACAUGAUUGUAUGUUCAUGGCUUACUAAAAUAUAUUAAAUCAGUAAAAUGGAAACAUGAAGGAAAUAAACCUUUUAUAUUUGUUGUGAUCCAAGUAGGAGGGAUGUGUAUAUUAGGGUUACUUGAGACUAUUCUGGUCAUUAAUUAUUUAAGGUGACAAAUUCUUGAUGACAUAGGUAUAGGGUAAAGCCUUGGCCUACUUUCGCUCUCGUUCCCUCAAAUAUUAAAAAUAAGAAUAUGUGUUUGUCAUUAUUAAAUACCAAAUUAAUUAAUUUGUUCAUGUGAUAUUAUGUUAUCUUAUUUACGCAAAUUGAUUCUCAAUUAGAUUAUAUAUUAUUUUUUCAAAAUUAUUUUUAAACUUAAUUAUUUUACGGGAUUAAGUUGGAAUUACCCAAUUUUCUGAUUUUU